rnacentral:rRNA from 1 species
CAUAGCCAGUAGAUAUUAUUAUUGGUUAAACCUGCCCAAUGUAGAUUAAAUUAAUGGCCGCGGUACUCUGACCGUGCUAAGGUAGCGUAAUCAUUUGGCUUUUAAAUGGAGUCAGGUAUGAAUGGGAUCACCUGGUGAUACUGUCUCUGAGUUGUUUUAUUUAAUUUACUGUUCAAGUGAAAAAGCUUGAAUUUUGUUUAAAGGGACGAGAAGACCCUUAGAAUUUCUUCUCUUAAUGGAGUUUUGCUGGGGCGGCAAGAGAAGAAGUGAAAACUUCUCUGUUCUACAAGCCGAUUAUUUUAAGUAUGAAUAAAUUACCUGAGGGAUAACAGCAUAAUUCUAUUGAUGAGUUUGUGACCUCGAUGUUGGACUAGGAAACUAGCAGGCUAGCCGUUUGCUUUGUGGGUUCUGUUCGAACUUUAAUUCCUACGUGAU